rnacentral:rRNA from 1 species
UACGUAGGGUGCAAGCGUUAAUCGGAAUUACUGGGCGUAAAGCGUGCGCAGGCGGCUUUGCAAGACAGAUGUGAAAUCCCCGGGCUCAACCUGGGAACUGCAUUUGUGACUGCAUGGCUAGAGUGCGGCAGAGGGGGAUGGAAUUCCGCGUGUAGCAGUGAAAUGCGUAGAUAUGCGGAGGAACACCGAUGGCGAAGGCAAUCCCCUGGGCCCCCACUGACGCUCAUGCACGAAAGCGUGGGGAGCAAACAGG